rnacentral:rRNA from 1 species
AGAACGAACGCUGGCGGCAGGCCUCAAACAUGCAAGUCUAGGGGGGUGUAGCAAUACAUCACCGGCGGACGGGUGCGUAACGCGUGGGAAUAUACCUAUUGGUUCGGAACAACUGAGGGAAACUUCAGCUAAUACCGGAUAAGCCCUUACGGGGAAAGAUUUCUCGCCAAUAGAUUAGCCCGCGUCCGAUUAGCUAGUUGGUGGGGUAAAAGCCUACCAAGGCGACGAUCGGUAGCUGUUCUGAGAGGAAGAUCAGCCACACUGGGACUGAGACACGGCCCAGACUCCUACGGGAGGCAGCAGUUGGGAAUCUUGGACAAUGGGGAAACCCUGAUCCAGCCAUGCCGCGUGAGUGAUGAAGGCCUUCGGGUUGUAAAACUCUUUCGACGGGGACGAUAAUGACGGUACCCGUAGAAGAGCUCCGGCUAACUUCGUGCCAGCAGCCGC